UGAUGUCAGAGCCAAAUGUGUUAUCAAUGCCACGGGACCUUUUACGGACGCGCUGUGGAAAAUGGAUGAUCAGAAGAACCCCGACAUCUGUCAGCCCAGUGCCGGGGUGCACAUCGUCAUCCCGGCUAUUACAGCCGCUCGCCCUCUCAUGCACACAACACUCAUGCACCUCCAGACUUGACAGCAUAAAACUCCAAGACGCCGUCGCAUCAUCUUCUAUCUGACCUGGGGAGCGGAUGCCCAAACACACCAUCGCAUAGCAAGUCAUCUCUGGAGAGGAUAUCAGUGUCUGAAUUACAUCCUCAACUAACUCGGCAACCACAGCCAGGAAAUGGAAGUUAGGGAGAGUCCUGUCUUCAUCCUGACAGAAGCGAGAGUGAAAUAAAG